UGGAGGCACACUCGUACUCUAUGUGUGUGUACAGCUGGUGGUACCCCGGGGGCAACUGUGGGAGAGACGGAGGACCGUGUGUGGGAGAGUCAGACUGCAGCUGUGGGGCCAGCACAGAGGAGUAGAGCCUCAGCACAGGACACACGAGGAGAGGGGAUGGACAGACUGCUGAUGCACACUCUCUGAGAACAAAGACUAUAAACCAUGAGGAUGUGAGUGAGAGUCAAGAAAGGAGGAAAAAAGAAGAGAAAUGGAGUAGAAGACAUCCUUGCCGGUGUCUUACCAUAUGGCCAGGCUCCCCCCUGGGGUAAGGAAAUGAAGAUGACGAGGGAGAUAAAGAGGAGCCAGCCGUGCUUGCCAGAGAUAAAGGUGCUGCUCCAGAUGUGCCUGCUUCUUAUGCCAGUGAAUCACAGCCACAGCUACUCAUAUAGCCAGCGGCCCGCAGCAGGCCCAUGCACAGACCCCAGGUACUGGAGCUGAUCUUCCCCAUCCGUGCACAUUGCAAACAUUCCAGAACCGAGGAAGGAUCAUCUCCAUGGACACAAGAAGGCACACAGAGUCCUCUGUCUUCAAGGGUAACUGAAACUUCUUUUUCCUAGUGGACCUGCCAUAUGGGAACGGACAUAUCUGGCAUUCUUUCAGGGCUACACAAUGAAGGGGACUUCCUGCACAUGACUGAAUGAUUUCAUUAUAAAACAUAACACAUUCUAGAGAGUCACUUAGUCACAGCCGAGUGGAUACAAGUCAUGUAGGGUGUCCCGGGGGCCGGAACAACUGGAGGGGCUUUGGUUGUAGUAAGGACUGGACAUUCAGCCUGUGGUGGGCCUGGAGACCUCAGACAAAGCAGGGCUUUGUCUAAACAGGAUUUGUAAGCAUAGGGUCAGGGCCUCUGGUAUUUGUUCUUAAGACAAACUAGAAGAUAAUGAAUAGGAGAAGGGGGUCACACAUACCACAACCAAUAAGAACAAAGGGACACGUUUCCUGUGGUGUCUGUUUUCUACAAACCUCCUGUCCUAUCUCUGUGUUGGCCAAUGAAGUGAAUGUGAACGUCUGCUCAGUGUGAAGGUAUGUUUUGGAUGUGUGGCAUGUAGCUACUUGUUAUCACAUGCUGUGCGUUUUACAUGUCUAUACACCUGGAACCUGUAUGAGACAUGCAGGUCUGUCCAUGUCUGCCAAAAAAGAUCACCCACAGUUAGACUCAAGCAUUUAUGAAACUGAGAGAGUUUAAAUAGAGCUUUAAAUCUGUUGUUUUUAUUUUGCUAGUGAUCAGGGUGCCCUCUUAAUCAA